UGCCAUUUCCUUCUCCAGGGGAUCUUUCCAACUCAGGGAUCAAACUUGCAUCUCCUGCUUGGCAGGCAGAUUCUUUACCACCCAGCCCUCUGGGAAGCCCCUUUAAAAGUUAUUAGGAAAAUUAAUUUGUUAAUUACUCUGUGCAUAGUUCAUGGAUAAGUUUUCUUCCACUUUUAAGUUGCAAAAAAUUUCAAUACUUUUAUUUUUAACAACAGCAAUGGAAAUUUCCAAGACGUACCCAGAAAACCUUUAUAACUUAGAAAAGAUUAUAAUUAUGAUGUUUACAAUCUUUAUAAGGAAAUGAAGAAGAAUCCAAAAUUUGUUUCCCCUCCCUGCAAAAUUCUCUGAAUCUUCUUGGACUACUUUUACACUGUUCUCUAGGAGAAGUUAUGACGUUUCUAAUUACUCAGCUGGCAUCCUUAAGAACUCAGCGGAAUAGUCAGUUUAACAUGCGGAAUUGAAGAUGAUAUAGUCGUCCAGACAAACAAAAGCUAAAGAAGUUCAUCACCACUAGACUGGUGCUGCAAGAAAUGUGACAGGGACUUAAGCUGAAAUGAAAGGGUGCUAAUUAAUUAGCACAGAUGGUCUCUGUCUUAGAAUGGUUCGACUUAGGAUUUCUUGACUUUACGAUGGUACAGAAGCGCAUCACAUUCCAUAGAAACUAUACUUCGAAUUUUGAAUUUUGAUCUUUCCCUGAGCUAGCUGUAUGUGAUACAAUAUUUUCGUAUGAUGCCGGGCACUGGCAGUGAGCCACAACUCCCAGUCAGCCAUGCGAUCAUGAGGGUAAACAAUCAACACUCUAUAGUGUACUGUGUCGCUUCCUGCUUCUGAUGUGGAGAAGAGGAAAGCAAUUACUCUUGAGAUGACACUCAAGAUAAUUUCCCUGCGUGAAAGUGGCAAGUCAGUAAUGGCCAUCGCAUGUGAAUUAGGACUUUCACAAUUGAUGAUCUCGACCGUCUUAAAGGAUAAGCGAAUCGGUGAUGCAGUGAAAUUGUCAGCAUUGGUUAAAUCCACUGUCUUUGCGAAGAAAUUACCUGGGCUAAUCGAUGAUAUGGGAAAAUUUCUCGACACUAGAAUGGAAGACCAGAUACAGAGGCGCACUCCACGUAGUCUACUGAGGCAAGUUUUUUACAUACGCUUAAAGAGUAUGCUGACGAUCUUACACAUACGUGAAUGUUUAUAGUGAGUAAAUGUCCAGUGUUUUAAGAGGCGUUGUUAUUUUCAUAAUGUGAAGGUCGGUGGUGAGGCAGCAGGUUGCUGAUACCAAAGUGUUUAAGGAAGUGCCAAAGCAUUUAAGGAAGAGCUGCGUAGAAUAAUUGUCAAUGAGAACACAUAUGUAAUGUUGAUGAAAUCAGCUUGUUCUGAAAACAUAUGCCAGAGCAUACGUACAUUCAUCAAAAGUCCAAGACAAUGCCAGGAUUCAAGGCUUUCGAAGACGAUAUAAUGCUGCUUUGGGAUAGAGAUGUUGUAAGGUUCAAGUUAAAGCCUUUCUUAACCUACCACUUGGAAAACCCUAGAGCAUGUAGGAAUAUGAGAAAACAUAUAGGUUCAGUUCAGUCCAGUCGCUCAGUCGUGUCCGACUCUUUGCCACCCCAUGGACUGCGGCACGUCAGGCUUCCCUGUCCAUCACCAACUCCCAGAGCCUGCUCAAAAAAAGCAUAUACUUCCCAUUUAUUGUUGCUGUAACAGGGAAGCCUGGAUGACAUUAGCAUUGUUUGAAAACUGGUUUUUGAACUGUCUUAUUCUGCACACAAGACAAUGUGGCAGGCAAAACAUUCAAUUUAAGACCCUUCUGAUCUUAGACAAUGCCCCAAGGCAUCCACAUCAUAUCAGCAGUGUGCUAUAAAAGCUGUGCAUUUGCUACUGAACACAACGGUACUCAUACAGCCAAUGGACCAAGGUGCAACAGCUACGUUCAAAGCAUCCUAUUUAUGCCAAAGGUUUGCAUAUGCUUUUGAAGUGGUGAAUCUGGCCAAACACUCUCAGAGAUUUGGAAAGAUUUUCACAUGCUAAAUCUAUCCGGAGCAUUGUUGUAGUGUGGGUCAAAGUCACACAGCAAUGAAUGAAGACAUAUGUGAAUAUUCAAAUGAUUCUGCGGUUGAUGAAAUAUUAAGUAACAAGAUAUUCUGUUGUUGUCUAGUCACUAAGUCGUGUCCGACCCUUUUGUGACCCCAUGGACUGUAGCCUGCCAGGCUCCUCUGUCCAUGGGAUUUUCCAGGCAAGAAUACUGGAGUGGGUUGCCAUUUCCUUCUCCAGGGGAUCUUCCUGAACCAGGGACUGAACCUGUGUCUCCUGCUUGGCAGGCAGAUUCUUUACCACUGAGCCACCUCACAAAACACUAGUGCUUGAGAAACAUCUAGAAUUGGACAUUGAUAUAGAGGAUAUUCAUGAGCUUUGGUGGCAUCAAAGCUGAAGAGCUUUCCAGGGAGGAGCUCAUCAAACUGGAGGGAAAAAUAGUAAAGAAGUUGGGGGACUUCCCUGGCCAUCCAGCGGUUAAGACUUUGCCUUUCAAAGAAGAGGGUGUGGGUUUUAUCCCUGGUCGGGCAGCUAAGAUCCCACAUGCCUCAAGGCCAAAAUUCCAAAACAUAAAAUAGAAGCAACAUUGUAACAAAUUCAAUAAAAACUUUUUAAAAGGUAACGAAGUUGAGGCAGAGGAAGAAGUUAUACCAAGGCACCAAGAGAGUUAACAGCAAAGAAACUGGCAGAGACAUUUACUACUGUGAGCAGGGGCAUAUGGAUAUUAGAAGAAAUGGAUGUCAAUUACAAGAGGUUCUCAAGAGCUCACAGGCAGAUACAGGAUGCUCUUAUUUGCUGUAGGGAAAUUCAUGAUGAAAAGAAGAAACAACUAUACAAUCAAAGCUUGAAACCUUCCUAAAGAAUACUGUGCCUAAUUAACCAUCAGCAAGUGUAGAUGCCCCAGUGCCUCCUACCAGCUAUUCUCAAGCCUCAUCGAGAGAGAAUUGAUGAUCCUGUCACUGUAGCAUCAAUAUCAUCCAGCAAUUGAUUUUAGUUCAAUGUUUGAAACAUUCUUCAGGCCUGCUGCGCUUUCAGCUGUCUGCUUUGAUGGGUCUUAGUUCCAGAACCAAGGAUUGAACCUGUGCCCCCUGCAGUGGAAGCACAGAUUCUUAAAAGCUGAACCACUGGGAAAUUCCCAGAUGUUUUUCAAAACCUACAAAGACCAGGGGGAAGCAUGAAUACAGCUCCUCCCUACUACAAAUUAUGCAGCCGAGUUCCCCACAUUUGGGGAAAUCGCAGGAGUGCAACACCUGGAGUGCAAUGGAUGAGCCCUGCCCUGGGAAAACCACCUUCGUGAUCACGUUAUCUCCCCUGUUGGGUGGAUUCUUUACCGGUUGAGUGACCAGGACAGCCCAAGAAUACUGAAGUGGAUAGCCUAUC